rnacentral:lncRNA from 1 species
UCCCAAUAAACGGAACCGCCCCCCCCCAAACCCAAAACCCCAAACCGUCCCGGAGCUGCGGUGACCCGCAAAGUUGGGGGGGGGGUGGGGGGGUCCGGUCAUGAAUGCUCGUCUGUGCUGUCGGACCUCCCAGGCGGCGGCCGCCAACGGCACCGGACCGGGACCGACAACAGGACCGGGACCGGGACCGACAUCGGGACCGGGACCGGACCGACAACAGGACCGGGACCGGACCGACAACAGGACCGGGACCGACAUCGGGACCGGGACCGGACCGACAACAGGACCGGGACCGACACCGGGACCCGGACCGACAACAGGACCGGGACCGAUAACAGGACCGACAACAGGACCGGGACGGACACGGAGACCGGAACCAGGACCGACAACAGGACCGGGACCGACAACAGGACCGGGACCGGACCGACAACAGGACCAGGACGGACACGGAGACCGGGACCGGGACCAGGACCGACAACAGGACCGGGACGGACACGGAGACCGGGACCGACAACAGGACCGGGACCGACAACAGUCCGGGACCGACAUCGGGACCGGGACCAGGAUCGAUAACAGGACCGGGACCGACACGGGAACCGGGACCAACACCGGGUGGACACCAGGACCGACACCGACAUGAGGACCGACACCAGGACCGAUACCGGGACCGACAGCCCUCGGUGCGGGCACAGCAGAACAGCGAACCGCCACCACCUCCCCGCUGCACCGGGACCGACACCGGGACCGGGACCGACAUCGGGACUGACACCAGGAUGGACACCGGGACCGGGACCGGGACCGGGACCGACACCGACACCCCCCGCUCCUUCCGAACCGCACCGGCAGCGUUCAGCGCCAACAGCGCCAACAGCGCCCGCAACCCCGCAGCGCCCCGCAACGCCGAACCCAUCCCGACGGAACCGGCGGUGCGGAGCGCGGCGGGGCGGAGCGGAGAAGCGGAGGGGCGGCCGUUCAAAAACGAGGAGGAAACAAAGAACCGCCAAUCAGCGACGGACAGAACCGGGGAGUCCCGGAGGAAUAACGGAGGAUCCCGCAACGCCGCCCCGCACGAACCCCGCAGCAACGCCGUCCGGAGCGGC